UCCGGUUUGUCACCGGCAGUCUCCCAUGAGUCCCCAACUGAAUGCUGGCAACAUGGAACGGGGGUUGCGCUCGUUGCGGGACUUAACCCAACAUCUCACGACACGAGCUGACGACAGCCAUGCACCACCUGUGAUGGUGUCCCGAAGGAAAACCGUGUUUCCACGGCGGUCACUCACAUGUCAAGCCCAGGUAAGGUGGGGAUGACGUGUCGUUACCUUA
rnacentral:misc_RNA from 1 species